CCAGCGAUCAAUUCCACCCGCACUUCGCAACUCCGUAACUCCACCUCAAUCACAGCGAUUUCCACCAGGGAUGGCCGAUGGGAUCAUUCGAAUCAUUGAACCCAUAUUUUAAAUUGCAGAAAGUAGCAGUGAGUUAUGAUGGGAUGAAAUAAAAUAUAUACGGGUUCCAUUAUCCAGUGAUACAAUCAUUGGUAGCUGCAAAUUCUUCUUCUGUUUUUGUUCAAGCUCCAUCAGAGAAUGGUGUUUCUGCUGCUGUGUCGAAAACUG